rnacentral:rRNA from 1 species
ACACGUAAGGGGCAAGCGUUGUUCGGAAUUAUUGGGCGUAAAGGGCGCGUAGGCGGUUUUACAAGUCUGGUGUGAAAGAUCUCAGCUUAACUGAGGGACCGCGCUGGAAACUGUAAGACUAGAAUCUAGGAGGGGAAGCUGGAAUUCCUGGUGUAGGGGUGAAAUCUGUAGAUAUCCGGAAGAACACCGGUGGCGAAGGCGAGCUUCUGGCCAUAGAUUGACGCUCAGGCGCGAAAGCGUGGGGAGCGAACAGGAUUAGAAACCCUAGUAGUCC